rnacentral:rRNA from 1 species
UACGGGGGGAGCAAGCGUUGUUCAGAUUUACUGGGCGUAAAGGGCGCGUAGGCGGCCUCCGCAAGUCAGUUGUGAAAUCUCCGAGCUUAACUCGGAAAGGUCAACUGAUACUGCGGGGCUAGAGUGCGGAAGGGGCAACUGGAAUUCUUGGUGUAGCGGUGAAAUGCGUAGAUAUCAAGAGGAACACCUGCGGCGAAGGCGGGUUGCUGGGCCGACACUGACGCUGAGGCGCGAAAGCUAGGGGAGCGAACGGG